UACAGAGGUCUCGAGCGUUGUCCGGAAUUAUUGGGCGUAAAGAGCUUGUAGGCGGUUUGUCGCGUCUGCUGUGAAAUUUCGGGGCUCAACCCCGAACUUGCAGUGGGUACGGGCAGACUAGAGUGUGGUAGGGGAGACUGGAAUUCCUGGUGUAGCGGUGAAAUGCGCAGAUAUCAGGAGGAACACCGAUGGCGAAGGCAGGUCUCUGGGCCACUACUGACGCUGAGAAGCGAAAGCAUGGGGAGCGAACAGG
rnacentral:rRNA from 1 species